CCAUAUGUUAUGAUUAGAAAUAGUAGAAGUGACUUGACCUCUCAGAGAGCCGUUGUUAGGUGGGAAACGGCAGCGUUCGUCAUUUCGAAGUCGUCUAUGAACAGCUUGCCCGACAAAGUAGGGCAAGACGGAAUUCCACCGUUACAGGGAUAGAUGGUGAUGGCCAUCGAAAGAGAUCAUUUUGAGUACGAAAUGAAUUAGAGUGGUACCGCGGGUCAACCCCGUCUCUAUA
rnacentral:ncRNA from 1 species